AAGUUCUUGAGCCGGUCCCGGAUCAGAAUGUUAUCUAAAACAAGAGAAAAAGUGAGGUCGGUGGCCUAAUCCAGACCACUCUUACGCUUAAGUUAGUAAAUGCCAAGAACGCAAACACUAACAAAUAAGUAAAGAAUAGAAAAUUGCGUACCUUGAAUAUUGAUGUGAUCCAUAUUUAUAGAGUAGAGGACAGUACAUUUUCCUACUUAGUCAGGAUUUUACCAGCUCAUGCCAACUCAUUUUCCUCCAUAUUUUGUGGAAACUACCUA
rnacentral:misc_RNA from 1 species